GACGAACGUUGGCGGCGGGCUUAACACAUGCAAGUCGAACGGAAAGGCCCUGCUUUUGUGGGGUGCUCGAGUGGCGAACGGGGGAGUAACACGUGAGUAACCUGCCCUUGACUUUGGGAUAACUUCAGGAAACUGGGGCUAAUACCGGAUAGGAGCUCCUGCUGCAUGGUGGGGGUUGGAAAGUUUCGGCGGUUGGGGAUGGACUCGCGGCUUAUCAGCUUGUUGGUGGGGUAGUGGCUUACCAAGGCUUGGACGGGUAGCCGGCCUGAGAGGGUGACCGGCCACAUUGGGACUGAGCUACGGCCCAGACUCCUACGGGAGGCAGCAGUGGGGAAUAUUGCACAAUGGGCGGAAGCCUGAUGCAGCAACGCCGCGUGCGGGAUGACGGCCUUCGGGUUGUAAACCGCUUUCGCCUGUGACGAAGCGUGAGUGACGGUAAUGGGUAAAGAAGCACCGGCUAACUACGUG
rnacentral:rRNA from 1 species